rnacentral:rRNA from 1 species
CCUACGGGAGGCAGCAGUGAGGAAUAUUGGUCAAUGGACGAGCGUCUGAACCAGCCAAGUAGCGUGAAGGAUGACUGCCCUAUGGGUUGUAAACUUCUUUUAUAAAGGAAUAAAACGAGGCACGUGUGCCUUUUUGCAUGUACUUUAUGAAUAAGGAUCGGCUAACUCCGUGCCAGCAGCCGCGGUAAUACGGAGGAUCCGAGCGUUAUCCGGAUUUCUUGGGUUUAAAGGGAGCGUAGAUGGGUUGUUAAGUCAGUUGUGAAAGUUUGCGGCUCAACCGUAAAAUUGCAAUUGAUACUGGCAGUCUUGAGUACAGUUGAGGUAAGCGGAAUUCGUGGUGUAGCGGUGAAAUGCUUAGAUAUCACGAAGAACCCCGAUUGCGAAGGCAGCUUACUAAACUGUGACUGACAUUGAUGCUCGAAAGUGUGGGUAUCAAACAGGAUUAGAUACCCUUGUAGUC